UACGUAGGGGGCAAGCGUUGUCCGGAUUUACUGGGCGUAAAGCGCGCGUAGGCGGAAGUUUAAGCGUGGCCUGAAAGCCCCCGGCUCAACCGGGGAGGGCGGCUGCGAACUGGGCUUCUUGAGGGCGAUAGAGGGGGGUGGAAUUCCUGGUGUAGCGGUGAAAUGCGUAGAGAUCAGGAAGAACACCGGUGGCGAAAGCGCUCUGCUGGACCUUAACUGACACUGAGGGACGAAAGCUAGGGGAGCGAAUGGG
rnacentral:rRNA from 1 species